GGGUCCGGACACACUGAGGAUUGACAGGCAAAAGAUACAAGUUUUCUUUGUGAGAGCUUGCACUGUAAAAUAUGCGAGUCCUUUCAUGAUUAUGUGAUAGGUGGUGCAUGGCCGUUCUUAGUUCGUGGAGUGAUCUGUCUGCUUAAUUGCGUUUCACAACGAUUUAAAAUGCUAUGUUUUCUGUGUUUGCUGUUCGGUUUUAGCUCUUACGGGAGUUUUUAACUUUGAACGCACACGGCGUAGCUUAAAACAAUCGGAAAGCAACGAACGUGACCGCAACCUCUUGUUGCCUUUAUUUUUAAAAGCGUAGAGAAUUUCAUAUUUUCUUACGCUUGAAAAAGGCUUUAAAACUAGAGGGACCGCUGUUCUAUUCUCUUAAACCAGAGGAAGAUUGCGGCAAUAACAGGUCUGUGAUGCCCUCAGAUGUUCCGGGCUGCACACGUGCUACAAUGAUUGUUGCAGUGAGCAUCUAUUUUCAAACGCUACCGUUGCGGAUUUUGUGAGAAGGGGGCUUGUUUUAAAGCUUUCGGGUGGAGAAGCAGGUUCUUUUUUUCACAAUUUAUUCCGCGUUACGUGUCAGCUAAACCUGCUUCGAAAGCAAGUAGGU
rnacentral:rRNA from 1 species